GUUGAGAUAUUUGCGGAUUUGGAAAAACGUAGGAGGGAAACAUUGCACUAGUACUAAAAAUUUGAGGCACAACCUUGGCGGGAUGUUGUGGGUCGCACCUGUCCUUUUGAUUUCAUAGUUUUUUGCACUCACGUUUGGUUUCAACAAACCUAUCUACAAUUUGCACUCAUGUUUGGUUUCAACAAACCUAUCUACAAUUUUAUCUAAAUUUGUGCCGUUAUUAUUCAUGAAUGUAGGUUGGAGGAUG
rnacentral:lncRNA from 1 species